rnacentral:rRNA from 1 species
GACGUAGGGCGCGAGCGUUGUCCGGAUUUAUUGGGCGUAAAGAGCUCGUAGGCGGCUUGUCGCGUCGACCGUGAAAACUUGGGGCUCAACCCCAAGCCUGCGGUCGAUACGGGCAGGCUAGAGUUCGGUAGGGGAGACUGGAAUUCCUGGUGUAGCGGUGAAAUGCGCAGAUAUCAGGAGGAACACCGGUGGCGAAGGCGGCGACCUGGGUAGAUACUGACGCUGAGGCGCGAAAGCGUGGGGAGCAAACAGG